AGUUGCGAAGGCGGCUCGCUGGACUGUAACUGACGCUGAGGCACGAAAGCGUGGGGAGCAAACAGGAUUGGAUACCCUGGUAGUCCACGCUGUAAACGAUGAGUACUAGGUGUCGGGGGUUACCCCCCUCGGUGCCGCAGCUAACGCAUUAAGUACUCCGCCUGGGAAGUACGCUCGCAAGAGUGAAACUCAAAGGAAUGGACGGGGACCCGCACAAGUAGCGGAGCAUGUGGUUUAAUUCGAAGCAACGCGAAGAACCUUACCUAAGCUUGACAUCCCAAUGACAUCUCCUUAAUCGGAGAGUUCCCUUCGGGGACAUUGGUGACAGGUGGUGCAUGGUUGUCGUCAGCUCGUGUCGUGAGAUGUUGGGUUAAGUCCCGCAACGAGCGCAACCCUUGUCUUUAGUUGCCAUCAUUAAGUUGGGCACUCUAGAGAGACUGCCAGGGAUAACCUGGAGGAAGGUGGGGAUGACGUCAAAUCAUCAUGCCCCUUAUGCUUAGGGCUACACACGUGCUACAAUGGGUAGUACAGAGGGUUGCCAAGCCGUAAGGUGGAGCUAAUCCCUUAAAGCUACUCUCAGUUCGGAUUGUAGGCUGAAACUCGCCUACAUGAAGCUGGAGUUACUAGUAAUCGCAGAUCAGAAUGCUGCGGUGAAUGCGUUCCCGGGUCUUGUACACACCGCCCGUCACACCACGGGAGUUGGAGACGCCCGAAGCCGAUUAUCUAACCUUUUGGAAGAAGUCGUCGAAGGUGGAAUCAAUAACUGGGGUGAAGUCGUAACAAGGUAGCCGUAUCGGAAGGUGCGGCUGGAUCACCUCCUUUCUAAGGA
rnacentral:rRNA from 1 species